UGGAAACAGCUCUGCCGCGAGAAAGACU
rnacentral:piRNA from 1 species